rnacentral:rRNA from 1 species
UACCAGCACCCCGAGUGGUCGGGACGUUUAUUGGGCCUAAAGCAUCCGUAGCCGGUUCUACAAGUCUUCCGUUAAAUCCAACUGCUUAACAGGUGGGCUGCGGAAGAUACUAUAGAGCUAGGAGGCGGGAGAGGCAAGCGGUACUCGAUGGGUAGGGUAAAAUCCGUUGAUCCAUUGAAGACCACCAGUGGCGAAGGCGGCUUGCCAGAACGCGCUCGACGGUGAGGGAUGAAGCUGGGGAGCAAACCGG